UACGUAGGGGGCAAGCGUUGUCCGGAUUUAUUGGGCGUAAAGAGCGUGUAGGCGGCUUGGUAGGUCCGCUGUGAAAACUCGAGGCUCAACCUCGAGAUGUCGGCGGAAACCACUUGGCUAGAGUCCGGAAGAGGAGAGUGGAAUUCCCGGUGUAGCGGUGAAAUGCGCAGAUAUCGGGAAGAACACCGGUGGCGAAGGCGGGUCUCUGGGCCGAUACUGACGCUGAGGAGCGAAAGCGUGGGGAGCGAACAGG
rnacentral:rRNA from 1 species